AAGCUGCCGGCGGAGGGCAGACAGCGGCCAGAGACCGAUCCCUAAUGAGAGCGCAGCGCGUGCAGAGGCGCGAAGCUGGGAGCUGAAACUCGCCUGGGUUGUGCGCACAAGUCUGGGGCAAGCGAACAGAAAAGUGGAGCGCAACCCAGGGGCGUUGGGGUCCGCUCAGGUCGCGCGCGUGCUAGGCCCACGGGCUGAAGUUGGAGCGCGCGGCCCGCUGGAGCGAGCAGCGCUGCGGGCCGAGUAAUGGCAAUGCAGAUGCAGAUUGAAGCAAAUGCAGAUACUUCAGUGGAAGAAGAAAGCUUUGGCCCACAACCUGUUUCACGGUUAGAGCAGUGUGGCAUAAAUGCCAAUGAUGUGAAAAAAUUGGAAGAAGCUGGAUUCCAUACUGUGGAGGCUGUUGCCUAUGCACCAAAGAAGGAGCUAAUAAAUAUUAAGGGAAUUAGUGAAGCCAAAGCUGAUAAAAUUCUGGCUGAAGCAGCCAAAUUAGUUCCAAUGGGUUUCACCGCUGCAACUGAAUUCCACCAAAGGCGGUCAGAGAUCAUACAGAUUACUACUGGCUCUAAAGAGCUUGACAAACUACUUCAAGGUGGAAUUGAGACUGGCUCUAUCACAGAAAUGUUUGGAGAAUUCCGAACUGGGAAGACCCAGAUCUGUCAUACACUGGCUGUCACCUGCCAGCUUCCCAUUGACCGGGGCAGAGGUGUAGGAAAGGCCAUGUACAUUGACACCAAGGGUACCUUUAGGCCAGAACGGCUGCUAGCAGUGGCUGAGAGGUAUGGUCUCUCUGGUAGUGAUGUCCUGGAUAAUGUAGCAUAUGCUCGAGCAUUCAACACAGACCACCAGACCCAGCUCCUUUAGCAAGCAUCAGCCAUGAUGGUAGAAUCUAGGUAUGCACUGCUUAUUGUAGACAGUGCCACCGCCCUUUACAGAACAGACUACUCGGGCUUUCAGCCAGGCAGAUGCACUUGGCCAGGUUUCUGCGGAUGCUUCUGCGACUUGCUGAUGAGUUUGGUGUAGCAGUGGUAACCACUAAUCAGGUGGUAGCCCAGGUGGAUGGAGCAGCCAUGUUUGCGGCCGAUCCCAAAAAACCUAUUGGAGGAAACAUCAUCGCCCAUGCAUCAACAACCAGGUAAGAUUGUAUCUGAGGAAAGGAAGAGGGGAAACCAGAAUCUGCAAAAUCUACGACUCUCCCUGUCUUCCUGAAGCUGAAGCUAUGUUUGCCAUCAAUGCAGAUGGAGUGGGAGAUGCCAAAGACUGAAUCAUUGGUUUUUUUUCCUGUUAAAAACCUUAAGUGCUGUAGCCUAAUGGGAGUGCACUGCACUGCUCCCUGGUGUUCUCCACAAGCCUCUUCCUGUUUUGACUACCAGGAAAAGGCUUCUGGGAAAACAGCUAUUGUAUCAGCUUUUCUGAUGGUGUAAACAGGAGACAGCUAAGUAGUCACAAACUAAUCUAAACUGUGUAUUCCUCUGGGUGUAUUAAUCUCU